UACGUAGGGUGCGAGCGUUGUCCGGAAUUAUUGGGCGUAAAGGGCUCGUAGGCGGUCUGUCACGUCGGGAGUGAAAACCCAGGGCUCAACCCUGGGCCUGCUUCCGAUACGGGCAGACUAGAGGUAUGCAGGGGAGAAUGGAAUUCCUGGCGUAGCGGUGAAAUGCGCAGAUAUCAGGAGGAACACCGAUGGCGAAGGCAGGUCUCUGGGCCACUACUGACGCUGAGAAGCGAAAGCAUGGGGAGCGAACAGG
rnacentral:rRNA from 1 species